CUUGGCUCCUCGCGUGGCGCCAUCUCGGUCAAUCCCCCAGGACGGAAACGUAGCAAGGGUCGCUGGGCUCUGGUGGGUGCGCGGGGAGUCGCCUAA
rnacentral:SRP_RNA from 1 species